rnacentral:rRNA from 1 species
CACGUAGGGCGCAAGCGUUGUCCGGAAUUAUUGGGCGUAAAGAGCUCGUAGGUGGUCUGUCACGUCGGAUGUGAAAACUCGGGGCUCAACCCCGAGCCUGCAUUCGAUACGGGCAGACUAGAGUUCGGUAGGGGAGACUGGAAUUCCUGGUGUAGCGGUGAAAUGCGCAGAUAUCAGGAGGAACACCGGUGGCGAAGGCGGCUCACUGGCCCGAUACUGACGCUGAGGCACGAAAGCGUGGGGAGCAAACAGG